GUGACAAUGGGGUGGUGACAGAGGUGACAAUGGGGGAUGGUGACAAUGGGUGACAAUGGGGCGGUGACAACGGGGAUGGUGACAAUGGGGGGGUGACAAUGGGGGGGGUGACAACAGGGGGGUGGUGACAGUGGGACGUGGUGACAGAUGUGACAAUGGGGAUGGCGACCAUGGGUGACAAUGGGGAUGGGGACAAUGGGGACAGCGACAAUGGGGGGUGGUGACAGUGGGAUGUGGUGACAGAGGUGACAAUGGGGUGGUGACAAUGGGGGGGUGGCAACAGUGGGAUGUGGUGACAGAGGUGACAAUAGGGGAUGGUGAUUAUGGGUGACAAUGGAGAUGGUGACAAUGGGGUGGUGACAAUGGGGUGGUGACAACGGGGGGGUGACAACAGGGGGGUGGUGACAGUGGGAUGUGGUGACAGAGGUGACAGUGGGGGGUGGUGACAAUGGGUGACAAUGGGGAUGGUGACAAUGGGAUGGCGACCAUGGGAUGCGGACAAUGGGGUGGUGACAAUGGGGAUGGGGACAAUGGGGACAGCAACAAUGGGGACGGUAACAGUGGGAUGUGGUGACAGAGGCGACAAUGGGGUAUGGUGACAAUGGGUGACAAUGGGGAUGGUGAUAAUGGGGUGGUGACAAUGGGGGGUGGUGACAAUGGGGACAGCGACAAUGGGGAUGGUGACAAUGGGAUGGCGACAACGAGGUGGUGACAAUGGGGAUGGGGACAAUGGGGACGGCGACAAUGGGGGGGUUGGUGACAAUGGGGGGUGGUGACAGUGGGAUGUAGUGACAGAGGUGACAAUGGGGUGGUGACAAUGGGGUGGUGACAACGGGGGGGUGACAACAGGGGGGUGGUGACAGUGGGAUGUGGUGACAGAUGUGACAAUGGGGAUGGCGACAAUGGGAUGGCGACAAUGGGUGACAAUGGAGAUGGGGACAAUGGGGACAGUGACAAUGGGGGGUGGUGACAGUGGGAUGUGGUGACAGAGGUGACAAUGGGGGGGAUGGUGAUUAUGGGUGACAGUGGGGAUGGUGACAAUGGGGUGGUGACAAUGGGGUGGUGACAACGGGGGGGUGACAA
rnacentral:lncRNA from 1 species